GGAAAACAUCAUAUCCAGACACCUCACCUAACACUGUCCCCUGCUCCUCCUCUUCUCUCCUAUCCAGGCUGCAGAGCUUAAGUCCCUGUUCGUGUUUCUGCCUGUUCCACGGUAAUGCCAUUGAGCUCAGCAAGUUCGGCGCACUGGGGUUGAACAUCCCAGAUGAGUUCAUUGACGGUGACCUGUGCAUCUGUAUCAGCUCAAGAUGUUCCUGGAGGUGUACCAGGACAAAGUUUUCAGGAUGUGAUGACCAAGUACCCAGUCCUGUAUGAGGAGUCCAUGAACACAGUCCUAAUCCAGGAGGUCAUCAGGUCUUAGGGUGUCAUCGCCGAAGUCGAUGCCUCUCCUUGUUCGGGCGGUGUUCGGCGGUCGACGUCGCCGGUCUUCUAGCCAUCGCCGAUCCAUUUUUCAUUUUCCAUUUAUUUUGUCUCGUUUUCCCACACACCUGGCUCUCAUUUCCCUCAUUAUGUGUUGUGUAUUUAACCCUCUGUUUCCCCCAUGACUUUGUGUGGUAUUGUUUAUCUGUUUUUAUGUAUGCGCACGUUAGGCUGGUUGCGCUGGGUUAUGUUCAACCCGUAUUUGUAUUUGGUGUUAGUUUGGG
rnacentral:lncRNA from 1 species